CCUACGUGAGGCAGCAGUGGGGAAUAUUGGACAAUGGGGGGAACCCUGAUCCAGCGACGCCGCGUGAGUGAAGAAGUAUUUCGGUAUGUAAAGCUCUAUCAGCAGGGAAGAAAGAAAUGACGGUACCUGACUAAGAAGCACCGGCUAACUACGUGCCAGCAGCCGCGGUAAUACGUAGGGGGCAAGCGUUAUCCGGAUUUACUGGGUGUAAGGGGAGCGUAGACGGCGAUGCAAGUCUGAAGUGAAAGGCGGGGGCCCAACCCCCGGACUGCUUUGGAAACUGUAUGGCUGGAGUGCAGGAGAGGUAAGUGGAAUUCCUAGUGUAGCGGUGAAAUGCGUAGAUAUUAGGAGGAACACCAGUGGCGAAGGCGACUUACUGGACUGUAACUGACGUUGAGGCUCGAAAGCGUGGGGAGCAAACAGGAUUAGAUACCCGGGUAGUC
rnacentral:rRNA from 1 species